rnacentral:rRNA from 1 species
AACGAACGCUGGCGGCAGGCCUAACACGUGCAAGUCGAGCGAGGACUUCGGUCCUAGCGGCGGACGGGUGAGUAACGCGUGGGAACGUGCCCUUUGCUUCGGAAUAGCCCUGGGAAACUGGGAGUAAUACCGGAUGAGCCCUUUGGGGGAAAGAUUUAUCGGCGAAGGAUCGGCCCGCGUUGGAUUAGGUAGUUGGUGGGGUAAUGGCCUACCAAGCCGACGAUCCAUAGCUGGUUUGAGAGGAUGAUCAGCCACACUGGGACUGAGACACGGCCCAGACUCCUACGGGAGGCAGCAGUGGGGAAUCUUAGACAAUGGGGGAAACCCUGAUCUAGCCAUGCCGCGUGAGCGAUGAAGGCCUUAGGGUUGUAAAGCUCUUUCAGCUGGGAAGAUAAUGACGGUACCAGCAGAAGAAGCCCCGGCUAACUCCGUG